rnacentral:rRNA from 1 species
CCAAUAGCGUAUAUUAGAGUUGUUGCAGUUAAAAAGCUCGUAGUUGAAUUUCGGGAUCAAUACGUCGGUCGUGCUUUCGGGUACGUACUGGCGUCAUUGGUUUCUCCUUUCUGACGAACCGUGAUGUCAUUAAUUUGGUGUUAUGGGGAGUUAGGACUGUUACUUUGAAAAAAUUAGAGUGUUUAAAGCAGGCAUUAGCUUGAAUACAUUAGCAUGGAAUAAUGAAAUAGGACGUUCGAUCCUAUUUUGUUGGUUUCUAGGAUCAACGUAAUGAUUAAUAGGGAUAGUUGGGGGCAUUAGUAUUCAAUUGUCAGAGGUGAAAUUCUUGGAUUUAUUGAAGACUAACUACUGCGAAAGCAUUUGCCAAGGAUGUUUUCAUUAAUCAAGAACGAAAGUUAGGGGAUCGAAGACGAUCAGAUACCGUCGUAGUCUUAACCAUAAACUAUGCCGACUAGGGAUCGGAUGAUGUUAAUUUUUUAAUGACUCAUUCGGCGCCUUACG